UACGUAGGGGGCAAGCGUUGUCCGGAAUUAUUGGGCGUAAAGAGCGUGUAGGCGGUCCGGUAAGUCGGCUGUGAAAGUCCAGGGCUCAACCCUGGGAUGCCGGUCGAUACUGCCGGACUAGAGUUCGGAAGAGGCGAGUGGAAUUCCCGGUGUAGCGGUGAAAUGCGCAGAUAUCGGGAGGAACACCUAUGGCGAAGGCAGCUCGCUGGGACGUUACUGACGCUGAGACGCGAAAGCGUGGGGGAGCAAACAGG
rnacentral:rRNA from 1 species